UCAUCUGUAUUGAAGCCGCGAUCCUAAAUCAAACAUCCCCGGUUGAGAAGAGGGCUAGGUCACGCCACCGCCGCCGCCGCCGCCGCCAUCACCCCGCCCGCACGCCGCCGGUGCCGCCAUCGCCGCUCGCCGCUGCCGCCAUCACCGCUCGCCGCUGCCGCCAUCACCGCUCGCCGCUGCUCGGACGUGGAGCACGUGCGUCAUGGCCGCCGCGGCAUCCACCGGGACUCUUGCCCGCUAAAAAAACACCCGCAUCUUCCCCAGCCCGUACUCGGCACCCCAUCGCAUCGUCGUGCCCGCCGCCCAACUGCUCUCGGCCGUCGCCGGGGUUCCGCGGCCGCUGGCAUCUUCCCCAGCCCGCACUCGGCACCCCAUCGCAUCGCCGUGCCCGCCGCCCAACUGCUCUCGGCCGUCGCUGGGGUUCCGCGGCCGCCUCGCUGAUGAUGUGGCAUCGUUCCUACACGACGCCCCUCCCUCCUCCCAUGGAUCCUUCCAUCUCCAAACGGAGCACCUACAGAUGGUGAGGCAGGAUCAGGCGAGGCCACGAGUAAACCAGCGGCCUCGCUGCCUACACCGUCCAGCACGGCGUCUCCACCCGCAACACCUCUGGUACAUUGCUGCCCUGGCUGCCGGCCAUCGCGGUCGCAUGGUCAAGGGACUCGAGAAGGAGGUGGAGACUUGGUUCCUGCACUACACUAGCUUAGACUCCUCCACCUCAUCCAAGCAGCGGCCAGGGCGGGGUCUAGAGGAGCGCCCGCCUCCGCCAAGGCGAUGGCCGGGGUCGCCAACUCACACAGCAUAGAGCUAGAUUGAGCGGUAGAUGGCAGUCCUGCAGAGCAGAAUAAGUCUCUGCACCAAAUACACCAGCGACGUUUGAUGUGGACUGGUAGUGUCAGCCUCGGGGAUUAAGAGGAAUUGGAGUCUCUACUUUUAGAUUUGCAUCAAGCUUCACGAUGUGGUGACCUGCUAGGAUGGGUGACAUUUAUCUCUCUUCCUUGCAUCUCAUGCUUUGAUUUGGGUGUUGUUUGGUUUGUUCAGAAUUAUCACUAUGUUCUGGGGCGACUAAUCAGUGUUGUGGAACAUUAGAAAGAUUUGCGUAUAGAUUUUUGGCUUGUUCUUCUUCAUUGUCUCAUUGAUGUUGGUGUGACAUUGGAAUCAAUUAGAUAAAUAAUUUGUGUAGAACAUUCUUUUGGGUCCCAUGCAUUUGAUUUCUGUAACAUUGCAAAGAUCUAUCCCUGCUCAUGUUCACAUUUUUGUUACGAAUGUCAUACCACAUAGUCCCUUUUAUUAUCAAUUCAUGAUUAUUAUUCUCUUUCUAAUUUCAUUUUUAUUCUAUCAUUUUCUUUGUUGUUAGAUUUCGUGUUGAUGAGAGAGGAACAGAAUGUUUGUUGUUCAGUACUUCAUGCAAAGAUACAACUACAAUCUGCAGUACUACUUGGCACCUGCAGUCUAGAAGUGAUUCACGGCCUGUAUAUUUGCCUACGUAGGCAUUGUAUCCAUGCUCGCUGUUUACUACAAAUUAGACAUUGGAUGCUCAUAUUUUAAUUAGACAUCGGAUGUUCAGUAUAUUCUACAAAUUGACCGCAGGCGUGCAACAUUGUUGAAGGGCAAAGUUACUCUAAGAAGCUGAAUGAUAAACAGGUCACUAGCAUACUUAGAGCUUCCUUGGGUUUGUGGAGGACAUGUCCGGUUUCAGUAAGUUAGUUUCACUUUCACGAAGACAGUGGAAACGCAGAAAAAGGAAAGCACGUGGAUUUAGAAAUUUCAACAUUGUAGAGCUCAGUUGAAAGGGAAAACGAGAUUUAUAGCAUCCAGCCAGAGUGGUGAUUCAAUUUUUGAUGAUUUGUACUUUGGUUGUGAGGUCGAUGAAGACAUGACAUGGAUUUGGGUGGGGCAGUGGGUUUGCUCGCGAGGAGGUGGGAAGGACGAAGAUAGUGGAAGAACCUUGAGAUGAUGGUGAUAUUACCGACUCAAUCCUUUAUUAGCUCUAUUUUUUAUCUUGAAGGUGCAUGAAUGGUAACUUGUGCAAAACUACGCUUCCCUUGUCAUUUGAUAAUUUUUGUCUUUAUGGUGCUCAUAACAUAUUUUUCAUCUAUACUUAUAGGAGUUUGUUACUUCCUUUUGGUCGAAGAAUAAGAUGGGUAACAUAUGCAUUGCCGACUUAGCUUAACAUUUUUUGAACAGAAUUUCUAUAAAUUUUAUACAGGUAUUGUGCUGAAGUCUGCGAAAUAGAUUAAUGACCGAGAGUGUUUAUAAGUUAUCAAGUCGAGCACAUAAGUCUGGAAAGUAGCUAAUUUUCCUACUGAAAAGUAGAUAGAGGUUUCUGAAGACAUGCGACAUUACUACAUAGUAUGCAUAGCCAUCUUCUGAAUUCUAUGAUUCUUCAUACCUUGAGUCUGUUAAACGUCUAUGCACCUUUCAUUUGAUGAGGUACAUUCAAAUUGGGUAUGUUCAUAACUUUGAUGAAAAAUUAUCUUCCCUUAGAUGGUUAAGGUUCUAGAGCUCAUUGCUAUGAAAGGAGGCAUAGAUUUGAUUCACGGAAUUGCCACCAGAAUUGGAGUGAGCGCGAGUAACAAUCUCCUGCAGACAAUACAUUCUUUUGAAGCUACGGCUGCGGGAUCGUACGGCAAAAAAUUCCUUGUGCCUCGCCCGGUCUUCGCUGCCCUACUGGGCCACGGAUUGGUCUUUUCUUAUGGACCGUCCACGCAAAAAAAGUGAUGGAAGGUAGGUUGAGCUGAUAAAUUCCUGCACCCACCUUGAGGUCCAUAACAUUCUCCUAAUUAUAUGCAGCCCAAUUCGUAUAGAUGUAUUUGUUUGAGGGAGAAGCAAUCAGAAGCAACAAUAUGUGAUCAUCAUGUGUGCGAGAGAUAUCAAGAGUAUGUGACGAGAUGGCAAGAGGAUUCUCUGUCUACUAGAGAGGUUGGUGUCAAAUCAACAUCGGAACAAGGGCAUAUAAGUGGAAUGAUGUAAAGUCAUUUUUUCUCUGUCUCCAUGGUAUGCUGAUACGUUCAAAGCAGCAUUUUAAAUAUUGAUACAUAUAAUUCAUUGAUUAACUCAAACAAAUGAUACUAGACAUCAACUACUGCAAUUGAUUGAUGAA